AGGUCACCAGAGUGAAGCCAUGGGAGAGAAAAGCAAACGCAGCCCCUCAAUGUUGAUGUGACUGCCUGACACUUCACAGUGGUGAAAAACCAAUGAUUGGUCUACGAAUUUGCAUCCCGUCCUGAGGACUUCAACCCUUCUCGGAUGAGUGACAACAGCUGGGAUUCGAACUCGUGCACACAAGGACUCCAACGACGGGACUUUGCACGCCACAUCAACACUGUGAAGCAGUCUGUUUAGUUGACAUUGACAUUGGCCUUUAUUACAGCGUCACAUCUACAUACAGAUUGACUUAUUUCUCAGCAGUUAUUGUUCUUAUUGAAAGAAACUUUAAAAACUUUUCGGCCUUUGUCUGGUUAAGUGUAGGAAAAGCGCAAGUAUAAGAAGAAAGACUCCAUCACACUUUGGAUUUGGAUUUAAAUUCUUCUUAGAAUAAAGAUGUGGUGGAAUUCAAAACGACUCAACUGAAACACCUUUCACGUCACUUUUAUGUUUCUUUAAUUUACCACAACUACAUCGUUGGCCCGACGGAAAUCAUUAGUUACCUGUUUUAAUCAUGAUUACAAAACAAUUUAACAAAAAAAGAAGCAUAACAACGUGCAAGAUUAGCACAGAAUACAAAAUGCAUACUUUAUGAUUUAUAGUCUUUUUCACUAACAUGUGAAUCAACUUGCUGAGGAGUUAAAUCGCAAGGGGAAAGAAAACAGGAAACGUUAGGCAAGUAACCAGAGCAAGGGCUCCAGCCUUGUGGGUUACAGCACCGGGAUUGAACUGGACGACAAACGUUGUCUCGGCAAUGAAGGGAAAAUCAUAGGUGGGAGAUUGUGUUGUCCUAAAGGAUACUCAUUGUCGUUGAGGAGAGUUCUGAAGAGCUAACUCUAGAUCGUAUACUGUUUUUGAUUCCGUACUAUGUGCUAGGGGUCAAGAUCAUAGAUAGUGGGGUGAUAAUAUCUAUAAUUACUGUACAUUAACUGCAGCUUUGUUAUUUCGGCAACGUGUGUGCAAACCUUGGCUACUGUACACCACCCGAGUCCGGGUAUGGACACCCAAAUUAUAUGCCUUGUCAUAAGGACUAUGAUGCUGGUGCGGGCUACUUGCCCGGGAUGAGAAAUACUCAAGGCUUUCAAUUGCCGACAAUGUACAUUUGGCUUGAAACAACACCAGGGCCCCUCAUCCCCAUGGGGGCUUAAAUACAUAGUGCCGGCGAGGGGAUCGCCAGAGCAAAGCUCCGAGGCAUGGUGGUUACUUGCACACGACACGAGUCCAAAAGAACUGCGAAAUACAGGUCUGAUCAGGGCCGGUGGAGGUAGAGUUCUGCUAUCUCCUUCCCCCAUUGAUUAGCUUCUGUUUGAUCUUUCGCAAUGAUCAAAAGAGCCUAACUUUGGAAGGUUCCAAUGUUGAUGUACAAUUAAAGAUAUGAUCAUUCCCUUGUGUGUUUUUGACCUCAAGCACCUCGUACGGAUACAAAUGCGGCAUGCGAUUUGGACUUGACUCUUGAGAACCCCCUCCACGGAGGUGGGUAACCUUUAUGGACCGCACUAUCUUUCACCUAUGGCUUUCCUUGAAUUUGUCGAGACAAUGUCUGUAGUCUGGUUUGAUCCAGUUUCUGUAACCCAGAAGACCGGACCCCCUGCCUGCACUGGUUACUUGCCUAACCUUUUCCGUGUUCUUCCAACUUGUGAUUCCACUCCUGAGUAAGUUGAUGUGCAUGUUUGCGACAAGGGCUAUGAAUGGUAAAGUAUGCAUUUUGUAUUCUGCACUAUCUAGCUUCUUGUUAUACUCUUUUGUUCAAUUCUUUUUGUAACCACUUUAAGAACAGGUAAGAUAGUUACGUAAAUUUAGCUGGGAGAUCUCUACGUGCAAGCGUGGUAAAUUAAAGAGACACCGGGGUGAUUGCAUUUAUUUGUUUUAGCUGCGUUCUUUGACCUCUAUUUACAGCUUCUACAUCAUUUGUGGAAAAAAUACUACAGGUAAAGUCAAGAAAUGAGUUUAUAACAAGUUGUUUUUUCAAUGAGUUAGUAAAUUUCAUUCACUCACCUGGUAAUGAAGUGCAAGUUUAUGUGAAGUUUAGCUCACAAUCAUGUGAAUAAGUGAUGGCCAGAAAACUGUCACAUACAAGAUUUAUAAUGAUAUGAUAUGAAAUAAAAAGUACGUCAUUUCAACACAGUGUGUCUUCAUGAAUAAAUUAUUCAAUAUAUGUAUUUUCAUGCAUGUUUGUGACAUAUAUCCUCAUAAUAAAAUCCUUGUACAGUUUUGUGUACUUUAUUU